rnacentral:rRNA from 1 species
CCUACGGGAGGCAGCAGUGAGGAAUAUUGGUCAAUGGGCGCGAGCCUGAACCAGCCAAGUAGCGUGAAGGAUGACUGCCCUACGGGUUGUAAACUUCUUUUAUAAAGGAAUAAAGUGAGGCACGUGUGCCUCUUUGUAUGUACUUUAUGAAUAAGGAUCGGCUAACUUCGUGCCAGCAGCCGCGGUAAUACGGAGGGUCCGAGCGUUAUCCGGAUGUAUUGGGUUUAAAGGGAGCGUAGGUGGGUUGUUAAGUCAGUUGUGAAAGUUUGCGGCUCAACCGGAAAAUUGCAAUUGAUACUGGCGGCCUUGAGUACAGUAGAGGUAGGCGGAAUGCGUGGUGUAGCGGUGAAAUGCUUAGAUAUCACGAAGAACUCCGAUUGCGAAGGCAGCUUACUAAACUGCCACUGACAUUGAUGCUCGAAAGUGUGGGUAUCAAACAGGACUAGAUACCCCUGUAGUC